rnacentral:lncRNA from 1 species
CCAUCCCUUUAUCUCAUGGGGCUGAGUAGGGAAAGGAAAUGGGACCAUGCAUAUGUGUUCACAUGCUUCAUGCUCCUUUGUGGUUGUUGCUGGACUAGAGAAAAUAAUGUAUUCACUUUGCAUGUAAAAUUGGUGUUCAAAUUAAAGUAGCUCCAGGAGUUGGCUGUAUAUGGCUUGUUUCUUGCAUCAACUUUCUACAAAAUAUGGAAUUUUUCUAUUACCUGCUCUUUAGAAAUAAAGCAUGCAUGAUGUAUUCAUAAGUUCAUGCCCAAGUCCUAGAAAAGGAGUGUAUCUCCCCAAAUUUAUUCAGACCCUACCUCAUUCUCUCUGGGAAUCUUUGUAGAACCCUACGAGGCAGUCUGAUUGCAAUAUUCAAGGAGGCAUAACAUUCUUUUACAGCGGAAAAUCUGUUUUGUGGUAGAUGUAUUAUCAAUACUCCUAAUUGUCUUGGGAGAAAUUGAUCAAAUUUUGCUUGGCCACCUGCAACUUGCUUCGAGACAGCAUCAAUUAACUUGGAUUUGAUACUAUAGAAUGAUAUGAAGAAAGGCAGAAAUGAGCUUGGAAGCUUAAAUCUAACCAAUCCAGGCAUCAAAC